GAAAGUAAUAAAGGGCGUAUGGGGGAUGCCUAGGCUCUUGGAGGCGAAGAAAGACGUGGUAAGCUGCGAUAAGCCUCGGGGAUUUGCAAACGAGAAUUGAUCCGAGGAUUUCUGAAUGGGACAACCCGGCAGGCAGAAGGCCUGUCACACGAAAGUGGGCCAACCCUCUGAACUGAAACAUCUUAGUAGGAGGAGGAAAAGAAAGAAACAUCGAUUUCCUAAGUAGCGGCGAGCGAACGGGAAACAGCCUAAACCACAAUUGUUACGGCAACUGUGGGGUUGUAGGACUGCAAUAUUCAAAUGACUGUGAACUGGAAUGUUCUGGAAAGUUCAUCCAUAGAGAGUGAAAGACUCGUACAGGCAAGCACGUCAGGCGAUAGCAGUAUCCUGAGUAGGGCGGGACACGAGGAAUCCUGUCUGAAUCCGCCGGGACCACCCGGUAAGGCUAAAUACUCCCAAGAGACCGAUAGUGAACCAGUACCGUGAGGGAAAGGUGAAAAGAACCCCGAACAGGGGAGUGAAAUAGAACCUGAAACCAUACGCUUACAACCUGUCGGAGCGGCUUCGUGCCGUGACGGCGUGCCUAUUGAAUAAUGAGCCUACGAGUUACUAAUCACUGGCAAGGUUAAGUGCACGGAUGCACGGAGCCGAAGCGAAAGCGAGUCUGAACAGGGCGUUUAGUCAGUGGUUGUAGACGCGAAACCUUGCGAUCUACCCUUGAGCAGGUUGAAGGUUGGGUAAAACCAACUGGAGGACCGAACGAAUAAGCGUUGAAAAGCUUCUCGAUGACUUGAGGGUAGGGGUGAAAGGCUAAUCAAGCUGGGAAAUAGCUCGUACUCCCCGAAAUGCCUUUAGGGGCAGCGUUGUAAUUGAGAGUCUACUGGAGGUAGAGCUACUGAUUGGAUGCGGGGGCUUCACCGCCUACCAAAUCCUGACAAACUCCGAAUGCCAGUAGUAUGAUUUACAGCAGUGAGCGACCGGGUGCUAAUGUCCGGUUACGAGAGUGGAACAACACAGACCAGCAACUAAGGUUCCCAAGAGUAUACUAAGUUGAUCUAACGAUGUUUUGCUGCAGAGACAGCUAGGAUGUUAGCUUGGAAGCAGCUAUUCAUUCAAAGAGUGCGUAACAGCUCACUAGUCGAGCGGCAAAGCGUGGAUAAUAAACGGGCAUCAAGUAUACCACCGAAGUUCUGGGCACGAAAGUGCGGUAGGGGAGCAUUCCAUUCCGCGUUGAAGCCGAACCGUGAGGUUUGGUGGAGUGUAUGGAAAAGCAAAUGUAGGCAUGAGUAACGAUAAUGCGGGAGAGUAACCCGCACACCGCAAGACCAAGGUUUCCUGAUCAACGCUAAUCGGAUCAGGGUUAGUCGGGUCCUAAGGGUAAGCCGAACGGUGAUCUCGAUGGAUAAUCGGUUAAUAUUCCGAUACUGACAUAUACCUCGAUGGAGAGACGAAGGAACGUAAGUGCCGCCACCUGACGGAAUAGGUGGUUAAAGGGCUUAGGUAUAGGGACAGAUUAAGAGUUAGUCCUUGCUGAAACCUGACAGUACAGAGAGCCUACGGGCAAUUUGAUAGUGCACCCAAGUCGACUUCCGAGAAAAUCUUCUAAGUUAUAGUAUAUGUCACCCGUACCGUAAACCGACACAGGUGGUCGAGGAGAGUAUCCUAAGGUGCUCGAGUGAAUCACGGUUAAGGAACUAGGCAAAUUAACCCCGUAACUUCGGGAAAAGGGGUCCCAUCGCGAGGUGGGCGCAGCGAAGAGGUCCAGGCGACUGUUUAUCAAAAACACAGGGCUCUGCAAAUUCGAAAGAAGACGUAUAGGGCCUGACACCUGCCCGGUGCUGGAAGGUUAAGAGGGGAUGUCAUCGCAAGAGAAGCAUUGAAUCGAAGCCCCAGUAAACGGCGGCCGUAACUAUAACGGUCCUAAGGUAGCGAAAUUCCUUGUCGGGUAAGUUCCGACC
rnacentral:rRNA from 1 species